UUCAUUUUAAUAGCUUUUACCAUUCAGAAUCUUAAGUGAUGGGUUUAACUUUGACUUGAUGUUGUUCUGUCAUUCAGAAUUUGGAAAUUGUGCUUGCUUGAUCCACCCAAACUCAAUAUAUAUAUAGAUAGUUAUAAUAAUAUAGAAGUAUCUUAAUAAAGUUGGAAGUUGAUUAUGGACAAGUUGGUUUGACAGGGAUAGAAGAAAACUACCAAAAUACGGUUUAGGUGAUCAGAUUAGUUGGCAGCGGCUCUUUAAUAAUUUUGCUUUCUGCUCAGUAGUAGCAUAUCAUGUUUUUUUUGAAAAAAUGACGUAUUUAUGUCCCCGUAUCAUAUUGUUUCCGUAUUAUGUAUUCGUCCCCAUGCGUCAUAGAAUUAUUCUAUUAUUCAAAUAAUAUUUAUCGUUAUUUUCAAACCUCAGCGGGUAUCCGGCAGGUAACGGGUAUCCGACGGGUGGUAAACAGUAGUGUACAAAAAGUUGAAAUUUUAUAAAAUUUGUUGUAGUUUCGUGGUGAUUUAUUUGUUGGGUGGUUUAUUGCAUUUGUGGGAUGGUUGAUUGCAGGAUGUCGAUGCCGAGAAGCAGCAACGCCCUUACCUCUCAAGCCUCGGCGGGUAUCCGACAGAUAGUGGGUUGCGGGUAUCCGAC
rnacentral:lncRNA from 1 species